rnacentral:rRNA from 1 species
CAAGUAUUCUCAAUUGCGACAUGGAGCGGGAGUAGAUUCUCAAUGACAUCAUUGCCAAUAGUGCGCACAUUGGGUGAUGCACCAUGGCGUAAAAGCAGCUUGAUCAUGUCAACAGAGAACCUUUCAGCAGCUUCGUGGAGCACGAAGUAUCCAUAUUUAUUUAUGCAGUUGGGAUUGGCGUGCAUCCCAUAGAGCUCAGGUGCCAUGCCCUCCAAUACGACUUUUGCACAUCGCAGGGCGUUGAAACUGACAAUGAAGGUUAAGGUUUGUGCGGUGAUGGUAAGAUAAGAUGAUAUGCCCCGGCCUUCACAGUUCACGAAAAAUCGGAGGAAGCACUGGACACUAUCCUUUACAAGGAUGUGCUCCAAUUCGGCAUAUAUGUCCAAGAAGGCAUCACCCACAAACUAG